rnacentral:tRNA from 1 species
GGGCGGUUAGCUCAGUUGGGAGAGCGCCUCGUUUACACCGAGGAGGUCGUCGGUUCGAAUCCGGCACUGCCCA